rnacentral:rRNA from 1 species
GACGAACGCUGGCGGCGUGCUUAACACAUGCAAGUCAAACGGAAAGGCCCUGCUCUUGUGGGUCUCUCGAGUGCCGAACGGGUGAGUAACACGUGUGUAACCUGCCCUUGACUUUGGGAUAACUUCAGGAAACUCGGGCUAAUACACCAUAUGAGCUCCUGCUGCAUAGUGGUGGUUGGAAAAUUUCGGCGGUUUGGGAUGGACUCGCGGCUUAUCCGCUUGUUGGUGGGGUAGUGGAUUACCAAGGCUUUGACGGGUAGGCGGCCUAGGAGGGUGACCGGCGACAUUGGGACUGAGGUAGGGCCCAGACUCCUACGGGAGGCAGCAGUGGAAAAUAUUGCGGAGUAGGGCGGCGCGUGAUACGACAGCGCCGCGUGCGGGAUGACGGGCUUCGGGUUGUAAACCGCUUUCGCCUGUGACGAAGCGUGAGUGACGGUAAUGGGUAAGGAAGCAACGGCUAACUACGUG